GAUGAACGCUGGCGGCGUGCCUAAUACAUGCAAGUCGAGCGAACGGACGAGGAGCUUGCUCCUCUGACGUUAGCGGCGGACGGGUGAGUAACACGUGGAUAACCUACCUAUAAGACUGGGAUAACUUCGGGAAACCGGAGCUAAUACCGGAUAAUAUAUUGAACCGCAUGGUUCAAUAGUGAAAGACGGUUUUGCUGUCACUUAUAGAUGGAUCCGCGCCGCAUUAGCUAGUUGGUAAGGUAACGGCUUACCAAGGCAACGAUGCGUAGCCGACCUGAGAGGGUGAUCGGCCACACUGGAACUGAGACACGGUCCAGACGCCUACGGGAGGCAGCAGUAGGGAAUCUUCCGCAAUGGGCGAAAGCUUGACGGAGCAACGCCGCGUGAGUGAUGAAGGUCUUCGGAUCGUAAAACUCUGUUAUUAGGGAAGAACAAAUGUGUAAGUAACUAUGCACGUCUUGACGGUACCUAAUCAGAAAGCCACGGCUAACUACGUG
rnacentral:rRNA from 1 species